GAUGCAGGUGACAAUUAUUCUAUUGUUUACGUUAUCUUGUGCUUUAGCACAGUAUGAUCGGGGUCCAUUUCCUCCGGAGCAGCCUGAAGGAAAACCGAGAGUAUGUAUUCUAGAUGAUGGCAGAAAGUUUAAGAUAGGAGAGAAUUUUCCUGCACGUGAUCAAUGUAACGUGUGCUUCUGUCGCUCAGACGGAAGCCUCGUUUGUACCAGAUCUUGUGAAGAAGUAUGUAUUCUAGAUGAUGGCAGAAGGUUUAAGAUAGGAGAGAAUUUUCCUGCACGUG